rnacentral:rRNA from 1 species
CAGCCGUAAACGAUGUGCGUUAGGUGUAUCGACGACCACGAGUUGUCGAGGUGCCGAAGGGAAACCGUGAAACGUACCGCCUGGGAAGUACGGUCGCAAGGCUGAAACUUAAAGGAAUUGGCGGGGGAGCACCACAACAGGUGGAGCCUGCGGUUUAAUUGGACUCAACGCCGGACAUCUCACCGGAUAAGACAGCUGAAUGAUUGUCAAUCUGAAGGUUUUACAUGACUAGCUGAGAGGAGGUGCAUGGCGUCAGUGACU